GGCAGGCCUAACACAUGCAAGUCGAGCGGUAGAGAGAAGCUUGCUUCUCUUGAGAGCGGCGGACGGGUGAGUAAUGCCUAGGAAUCUGCCUGGUAGUGGGGGAUAACGUUCGGAAACGGACGCUAAUACCGCAUACGUCCUACGGGAGAAAGCAGGGGACCUUCGGGCCUUGCGCUAUCAGAUGAGCCUAGGUCGGAUUAGCUAGUUGGUGAGGUAAUGGCUCACCAAGGCGACGAUCCGUAACUGGUCUGAGAGGAUGAUCAGUCACACUGGAACUGAGACACGGUCCAGACUCCUACGGGAGGCAGCAGUGGGGAAUAUUGGACAAUGGGCGAAAGCCUGAUCCAGCCAUGCCGCGUGUGUGAAGAAGGUCUUCGGAUUGUAAAGCACUUUAAGUUGGGAGGAAGGGUUGUAGAUUAAUACUCUGCAAUUUUGACGUUACCGACAGAAUAAGCACCGGCUAACUCUGUGCCAGCAGCCGCGGUAAUACAGAGGGUGCAAGCGUUAAUCGGAAUUACUGGGCGUAAAGCGCGCGUAGGUGGUUUGUUAAGUUGGAUGUGAAAUCCCCGGGCUCAACCUGGGAACUGCAUUCAAAACUGACUGACUAGAGUAUGGUAGAGGGUGGUGGAAUUUCCUGUGUAGCGGUGAAAUGCGUAGAUAUAGGAAGGAACACCAGUGGCGAAGGCGACCACCUGGACUAAUACUGACACUGAGGUGCGAAAGCGUGG
rnacentral:rRNA from 1 species